rnacentral:rRNA from 1 species
GACGAACGCUGGCGGCGUGCUUAACACAUGCAAGUCGAACGGAAAGGCCCUGCUUUUGUGGGGUGCUCGAGUGGCGAACGGGUGAGUAACACGUGAGUAACCUGCCCUUGACUUUGGGAUAACUUCAGGAAACUGGGGCUAAUACCGGAUAGGAGCUCCUGCUGCAUGGUGGGGGUUGGAAAGUUUCGGCGGUUGGGGAUGGACUCGCGGAUUAUCAGCUUGUUGGUGGGGUAGUGGCUUACCAAGGCUUUGACGGGUAGCCGGCCUGAGAGGGUGACCGGCCACAUUGGGACUGAGAUACGGCCCAGACUCCUACGGGAGGCAGCGGUGGGGAAUAUUGCACAAUGGGCGGAAGCCUGAUGCAGCAACGCCGCGUGCGGGAUGACGGCCUUCGGGUUGUAAACCGCUUUCGCCUGUGACGAAGCGUGAGUGACGGUAAUGGGUAAAGAAGCACCGGCUAACUACGUG